rnacentral:rRNA from 1 species
UAUACUUACUAUUCGCCAGAAUACUACAAGCAAAACGCUUGAAACUCAAAGGACUUGGUGGUGUCCCAUAUCACCCUAGAGGAGCCUGUCCUAUAAUCGAUACUCCACGUUAAACCUCACCACCUUUGGCCACUACAGCCUAUAUACCGCCGUCGCCAGCCUACCCUAUGAAGGUCCUAUAGUAGGCAAAAUAGCUCACACUAAAACGUCAGGUCAAGGUGUAGCUUAUAAGGUGGAAGAGAUGGGCUACAUUUUCUAAAUUAGAAAACACGAACAAUGCAAUGAAACCUUGCAUUAGAAGGAGGAUUUAGCAGUAAAAUAAAAAGAAAGACCAUUUUAAACAAGCCCUGGGACGCGCACACACCGCCCGUCACCCUCAUCAACAACCGCAACAACUAACAUAUAACCAAACUCACCACAAGAUGAGGCAAGUCGUAACAUGGUAAGCGUACUGGAAAGUGUGCUUGGACUAACAAAAAGUAGCUUAAAACUAAAGCAUUCAGCUUACAAUUGAAAAAUGUUAUACACAAACCUUUUUGAGCCUACACCAAAGCCCAACCAACCUAACAUCCAAACCAACACACAUAACAAACAAACCAUUUGAUAAAAAUAGUAUCUGAGAAAGAAC